UCCCUGAUGGUCCAGUGGUUAAGACUUCACCUUCCAAUGCAGAAGGUGCAGGUUCGAUCCCUGGUCAGGGAG